UGUAAGCGUAUACCAAAGUUGUUGCAGUUAAAACGCCCGUAGUCGGAAUUUGGCAGUUCCGGAUGUGUGCACGUCGUGUGCGCACUUCGCGGGGAUUGCUUUUGUGGUCUUGCGUAGGAUGAGGCACUUUUAUUAGUGAACGUCCUCACGCAACCACUUUUUACUGUGAGAAAAUCAGAGUGCUCAAAGCAGGCAUUUGCCGUGAAUGUAUUAGCAUGGAAUAAUAGAAUAGGACUUGGUUCUAUUUUGUUGGUUUGUUGGGACUGAGUAAUGAUUAAGAGGGACAGUUGGGGGCAUUUGUAUUUCGGUGCUAGAGGUGAAAUUCUUAGAUUACCGAAAGACAAACUGCUGCGAAAGCGUCUGCCAAGGAUGUUUUCAUUGA
rnacentral:rRNA from 1 species